UCUCUUCCUCACGAAGUCACGCUCCAGAGUUCUUUCUCUGCCUCACGAAGUCACGCCUCACGAAGUCACGCCUUCCAGAGAUCUAUCUCUGCCUCACGCCCACUAUCUCAGAAAUUCAGAAAAGAAGACAAGCAACUUUAGGGAACUCAGGCAUUUAUAAAGGGAUCUCAUAUUUUCAUCUUAGCUAGGUUUGGUUCAUUUGGCUAUUUUUUCACUUUCAAGUGGCUUCAUUGGAUUUCAAAUUGGAGGGAACUUUAUUUGCAGCAGUUUGCAAGAGAAACGGUUGAUCAGAAACUAGUCAAAGAGUUUGCCAAGUACAUGAUAUGUCACCUCCAUCGACAAAAGGAAAGAGGCCAAAACACAUACCUACAGGAAAAUUAGUUAAACUCCUCAAUGAAAAGAGGAAGAGCUUUAGACUAAAUUUGGAAAUGGAUAAGGUUG